rnacentral:ribozyme from 1 species
GCCCGGCAAAGUCCGACCAUCACCUCCUCGCGGUGCCGGGCGGGGUAGGAGUUCGUCCUUGGACAGGCUCUGAGCUAACGAUGGC